GGAAAGAGCCCUGGGAAGAGGAUUUGGAAAUGUUGGAAUGUGUCAGCUUGGAAAACGCUUCAGGACAGACCAAAAUUUGAGGUGUGUGAUGCAACUCGAUAAUACACUCCUGAUAUCACUGAGAUGGGAGAGACAAGCAAGGAGCAAGACAUCAAAGGAAGGAGAAGAAAGAGAAGAUGCCAAAGGCAGGAGAAGAAAGAGGGGAAGAUGCCAAACGCUGCCUUGAUUUACCUGCUUUACAUACCCGGUACUGCGUUUCAGAAAUCCUUAUUUUGAGAUCACUUUCCUGUGGUGUUUAUAAGGACUGGAGAAGUCUUGAGACCUAAAAGGAACAGCCAAAAAUAGCAACACUGAAUAUGGAAAUGCAGGAAACGUGAACAGCAGUUUUCAUUUGAAAUGGGAUGUGUAAGAUAAUGGCAAAUCCAACAUUACUGCAGUAUUCCCAUCAGUUACUCUUUCAUUUCCCUGUUUUAUUUAUACAAAACCCUUGGAAGCACUGCUGUUGCUGAAUGUUUUGCUUGAUAGCAUUUCUAAUUUCCUUGUGCUGGUUUAUCCCUAUGA